UACAGAGGUCCCAAGCGUUGUUCGGAUUCACUGGGCGUAAAGGGUGCGUAGGUGGCCAGGUAAGUUUGGUGUGAAAGCUCGGAGCUUAACUCCGAAAAGUCAUUGAAUACUAUCUGGCUGGAGGGUCGGAGGGGAGACUGGAAUUCUCGGUGUAGCAGUGAAAUGCGUAGAUAUCGAGAGGAACACCAGUGGCGAAGGCGAGUCUCUGGACGACACCUGACACUGAGGCGCGAAAGCUAGGGGAGCAAACGGG
rnacentral:rRNA from 1 species